GACGAACGCUGGCGGCGUGCUUAACACAUGCAAGUCGAACGAAGAGCGAUGGAAGCUUGCUUCUAUCAAUCUUAGUGGCGAACGGGUGAGUAACGCGUAAUCAACCUGCCCUUCAGAGGGGGACAACAGUUGGAAACGACUGCUAAUACCGCAUACGAUCUAAACUCGGCAUCGAGGAUAGAUGAAAGGUGGCCUCUACAUGUAAGCUAUCACUGAAGGAGGGGAUUGCGUCUGAUUAGCUAGUUGGAGGGGUAACGGCGCACCAAGGCGAUGAUCAGUAGCCGGUCUGAGAGGAUGAACGGCCACAUUGGGACUGAGACACGGCCCAGACUCCUACGGGAGGCAGCAGUGGGGAAUCUUCCGCAAUGGACGAAAGUCUGACGGAGCAACGCCGCGUGAGUGAUGACGGCCUUCGGGUUGUAAAGCUCUGUUAAUCGGGACGAAAGGCCUUCUUGCGAAUAGUGAGAAGGAUUGACGGUACCGGAAUAGAAAGCCACGGCUAACUACGU
rnacentral:rRNA from 1 species